GAUAGUGAUAUGGAGCAAAACCCUAAAAAGACGGUCUCAGUUCGGAUUGAAGGCUGAAAUUCGCCUUCAUGAAGCUGGAAUUGCUAGUAAUGGCAGGUCAGCAUACUGCCGUGAAUACGUUCCCGGGCCUUGUACACACCGCCCGUCACACCAUGAGAGUUGGAAAUACCCGAAGCCUGUGAGCUAACUGUAAAGAGGCAGCAGUCGAAGGUAGAGCCAAUGAUUGGGGUGAAGUCGUAACAAGGUAAC
rnacentral:rRNA from 1 species